rnacentral:rRNA from 1 species
UACGUAGGGGGCAAGCGUUGUCCGGAUUUAUUGGGCGUAAAGAGCGUGUAGGCGGCCAUGUAGGUCCGUUGUGAAAACUCGAGGCUCAACCUCGAGACGCCGAUGGAAACCAUGUGGCUAGAGUCCGGAAGAGGAGAGUGGAAUUCCUGGUGUAGCGGUGAAAUGCGCAGAUAUCAAGAGGAACACCUGCGGCGAAGGCGGGUUGCUGGGCCGACACUGACGCUGAAGCGCGAAAGCUAGGGGAGCGAACGGG